AUGGACGGGGCGAAAUCUCCGCACGGCUUGCCGAUGCUGGCAGCGACGACGCCUGUGGGUGCCGUUUCCUUCUUGGGGCGCUGCCAUGGUCCUGAUCAUGUCCCUCCUCGAGCUCCGGGGGAAACCCUUGUUCCGGCCCUUCGGAACAGGCGACGGCGGCGUCACGGCGUCGUUACCUUCAUGAAGGCGCCGCCUUGGCUGCUCGCGGAGUCCUCGGAGCUAGAGUUUGGAGCGUCUUGCUUUUGGCUACAGCUGGGCAGUGCUCCACCUGACACAAUCCUCUGCCCAUUGCAAAUAAGUGUGUUAUCGCAACCGAUCAGGAAGUUCACAAAACAGCCAAGUAGGAUUGGCAUUAGGUAUGAUAAGAGUAGAACGAACAAUGAACGGAGGAAGUCGAUGCAGGAGAUCGUCUACGGCUGUUCGGUGAGUAUAAUUUCCCCCUUAUUUAGUGCAGUCCUUCGUGCGGCCGUCAUUAUAUGUACUGAUGCAUUGAAACACUUGAAUAUCAUGGUGAAGUUAAAAAAUGGGAAGGUAAUGGAUGUCCUCGACGUGGAAGAGAUACCGGCAGCACAUACUAUGAAAAGGUGGACUAGAGAUGCCAGGGACAUACUGCCAGGGCACCUCGCCUACUACAGAAGGAUCAAAUGA
rnacentral:rRNA from 1 species